UACGAAGGGGGCAAGCGUUGUUCGGAAUUACUGGGCGUAAAGGGCGCGUAGGCGGCUUAUCAAGUCAGGCGUGAAAUUCCCGGGCUCAACCUGGGGGCUGCGCUUGAUACUGAUGAGCUUGAAUGCGGGAGAGGAUAGUGGAAUUCCCAGUGUAGAGGUGAAAUGCGUAGAGAUCGGGAGGAACAUCAGUUGCGAAGGCGGCUCUCUGGACCAGCACUGACACUGAGGCACGAAAGCGUGGGGAGCAAACAGG
rnacentral:rRNA from 1 species